rnacentral:rRNA from 1 species
UACGUAGGGCGCAAGCGUUGUCCGGAAUUAUUGGGCGUAAAGAGCUCGUAGGCGGCUUGUCACGUCGAUUGUGAAAGCCCGAGGCUUAACCUCGGGUCUGCAGUCGAUACGGGCUAGCUAGAGUGUGGUAGGGGAGAUCGGAAUUCCUGGUGUAGCGGUGAAAUGCGCAGAUAUCAGGAGGAACACCGGUGGCGAAGGCGGAUCUCUGGGCCAUUACUGACGCUGAGAUGCGAAAGCGUGGGGAGCAAACAGG